rnacentral:lncRNA from 1 species
AUGCAAGGCAACCAAGCUGUCUUCAUCAUCCCUAGAGAAUUGACAAAGUUGACAAAGAGAGCUGAGGAAGAAGGCAACAUGCCAAAGAAAGAAACAGUGACUUGCUAUUCUUUGAAAUCUUAGAUCAGUCUACUCUGGAAAAUUCAUCUUUUAAACCUUCCUGCAUUUAACCAAUUAAAGCAUGGAGAGAGAAGAUAUGCAUUGACAAUCCAGAUCAUUAGAAAUUUAAUUUAUCUCAAGGGUCCUUUAAAUAAACAUUUUUCACUUCACAUCUC